AGAAACCUGAAAAUUACCGUUGGAUUGAAAAAUAAACGUUUGAGAUUCGUCCACAUCAUCAAGAGUAAAAAUUUUACUCCUAGGUUUACUCAUGAGUAAAAAUUUUACUGGACGUGGACGAAUUUCAGACAUCCAUUUUCUAAUCCAAUGGUAGUUUUUAUGUUUCU
rnacentral:pre_miRNA from 1 species